GACGUAGGGCGCGAGCGUUGUCCGGAUUUAUUGGGCGUAAAGAGCUCGUAGGCGGCUUGUCGCGUCGUCCGUGAAAACUCAGGGCUCAACCCUGAGCUUGCGGGCGAUACGGGCAGGCUAGAGUUCGGUAGGGGAGACUGGAAUUCCUGGUGUAGCGGUGAAAUGCGCAGAUAUCAGGAGGAACACCGGUGGCGAAGGCGGGUCUCUGGGCCGAUACUGACGCUGAGGAGCGAAAGCGUGGGGAGCGAACGGG
rnacentral:rRNA from 1 species